rnacentral:rRNA from 1 species
CCAAUAGCGUAUAUUAAAGUUGUUGCAGUUAAAAAGCUCGUAGUUGAACUUCAGGCCUGGCUGGACGGUCCGCCUUCUGGGUGAGUACUGUCUGUGGUCGGGUCCUACCUUCUGGCGAAGCGUCAUGGCCUUCACCGGCCGUGGCGGGGAGCCAGGACUUUUACUGUGAAAAAAUUAGAGUGUUCAAAGCAGGCACGCGCUUGAAUACAUUAGCAUGGAAUAAUGGAAUAGGACAGUGGUUCUAUUUGUUGGUUUCUAGGACCGUUGUAAUGAUUAAUAGGGAUAGUUGGGGGCAUUAGUAUUCAAUUGUCAGAGGUGAAAUUCUUGGAUUUAUUGAAGACUAACUACUGCGAAAGCAUUUGCCAAGGAUGUUUUCAUUAAUCAAGAACGAAAGUUAGGGGAUCGAAGACGAUCAGAUACCGUCGUAGUCUUAACCAUAAACUAUGCCGACUAGGAAUCGGGCGAUGUUGACAAAAUGACGCGCUCGGCACCUCAUG